CAGUGGGUUUCUUUUGGAAAGGGUUUUACAUUCUGUCAUGAAACACUAGUUUAGUAAAUUCCACAAAUAUGACAGAGUUUCACUCUGUAAAAACAUUCCACCUUCCUGGAUACAACUGAUACAGCUGCUUUUCAUUGGACAGUUGUUCAAGACUAACCAAUCGUUGCAUUUAAUCAGACGUGGGAGCAGCUCCAGUAGAAAAAGCACUACAGGAUUUCUACUGGAUUUCUAAAAUCUCUUCCUGAAAAUUUGAGGUGCUCAGACACCUAUUUGGAAAGACGACUAGUUCCUGGUCUCCUUACUCCCGACUGCCUGUAGGCCUGAGCACUGGACUCAAAGCAGCUUCACAAAACAUCUCUGAUUCAAGCAGAACCCAGGACUGUCUCUCAGCUCGUAGUCUAUAAUUCUCCAGUAGUGCACUACGGUAAAAAAAUUCCACAUAUCUUUUUUAUGUAUCGCUUGUCAUAUAUAAACGUAAAACGCCAAUUUGGUAGUUGGUAUCUAAUUGAUCCAAGGAUCUAAUCUAGCCAUUUUUAAAAGAAGCAAGAUUUUCAAUUAAAUAGCUGGGUAGUCUGUUCCAUACUGUCACAGACCUUAGUGUAAAAAAAGUGUCCCCUGUUCUCUGUUUUAAAAGCACUACCAUGUACAGAAGUUUCCUCUGUGUUAUGACAGUGGUUUGUUAUGUUUUACUUUCCAUUAGUAUUGUGAAAUAAUCUUGCACUUAUCUGUUGUGACUCCAUUCUCUGUUUUGCACAAAUUUGUUUGCUUUGCUUUGUAAUAAAGGGUGUAAGAUUUGUGCUGUA